GCUGCAGCCCCUGUCCCUCACUCCCUCCAACUCUGACAUGGACCCCCACACUGAGUGACAGUGUGGAGGAUUUGCAGGUGACUCCGAAUCGAGUCAUAACUUCUAUCCUGAACUUUACCGCUUCACAUGUCCACCAUGGAGAGAAGAUCUCCUGCACUGCGCUGUACAAACGACAAGCUGGCAAGAGUGAUAAAUCAUCCAAAACUGAUCUGACAGUCGCUGUUCUUUACUCUCCCAAGAACACCUCAGUGUCAGUCAGUCCCUCUGAUUCAGUGGUAGAGGGCAGCUCUGUGACUCUGACUUGCAGCAGCAAUGCUAACCCAGCAGUGGGGCGCUACAACUGGUACAGAGUUAUUGGAGAGCAGGUUUCAACAGUGAGGGCUAGCAGAAUGCUAACUGUCCAGGUACCAGCAGAUGACAGUUAUUUCUACUGUGAAGCCAUCAAUGACCAUGGAACCGAGAAGUCAUCUGUCAUUCAACUAGAUGGAAUGUACCCUCCCAAGAACACCUCACUGUCAGUCAGUCCCUCUGGUUCAUUGGUAGAGGGCAGCUCUGUGACCCUGACCUGCAACAGCAAUGCCAACCCUGCAGUGAAGAACUACACCUGGUACAAAAUCAAUGGGACUGAGGCUGUCCUUUUAGGAUCUGGAGAGAGCUUCACCUUAGACAGUAAAGCAAGUGAUAGCGGGGAGUACUGCUGUGAAGCACUGCAUGCACUCGGUAAAGAAAAAGCCACAGUUGUUCAGCUGGAUAUUCAAUGUAAGUUAUAUACAUUAUACUUUUGCAGUGGUAUGGUCAGGGAUGGAACUUAAAGAUAUUGGGCACUGGCCAGCCAGGAUAGAAGACUGCAAUUUUUACUGGCCUGGGUCCAAAAUAAAUAUGCAAUAUUUGAAAAGACAAAAUGUCACUAGCUGCUGGGCUAGUCGGGCACAUUUUCUAUUAGCCCGGUCUGAAAAGUACUAGCCACGGGUUAGCGGGCUAGCUUAAUUUCUAUCCCUGGGUAUAAUACAGUAUAUUGCCUAGUGUAGGAACAGAAACAUCAAGAUGCUGCUAACACUUUACCAUAUGGCUACAUUAAUUGGCAUCAACUAAUGUAUCAUUCAAUGGUGUCAAUGCAUUUGUUAAUCAUUUACUAAUGGUAAAGAAACACAACAUAUUUUAGUCAUAAUUUUGAAAUGCUACAUGUAGAGCCU